rnacentral:rRNA from 1 species
UACGUAGGAUGCGAGCGUUGUCCGGAAUUAUUGGGCGUAAAGGGCUCGUAGGCGGUCUGUCGCGUCGGGAGUGAAAACUCAGGGCUUAACCCUGAGCCUGCUUCCGAUACGGGCAGACUAGAAGUAUGCAGGGGAGAACGGAAUUCCUGGUGUAGCGGUGAAAUGCGCAGAUAUCAGGAGGAACACCGGUGGCGAAGGCGGUUCUCUGGGCAUUACCUGACGCUGAGGAGCGAAAGUGUGGGGAGCGAACAGG